ACUUAGACUGGACUAAAAUAAAAACUAGCAAAUUGGAAAUCCCGUUGAAGAGUUCGAUUUUCUCCGCCCGGCAGCGCGGCGACCUCCAUGGUGUCCCUCUUUCUACCAUCUCACUCGCGUAACAGUAUCAUCGAGAGGUCAGCUAAGACCUAGCUGAGCUCUAACUGUGUCUGUGAAGUCUUGAAUUAUAGCUCAAGCUCACUGGCGCAGCUGCAGAAGUCGUGUGUAUGAUGGAUAUGAUCACAGUUAUUGUUGAUGGCGGCACUGAGGAUGCUAUGAAUAGAAAACUUGCCCAUAAUAGAAACCUUGUUGAGGUAAUUUGAGGGGCUACAACUUAUUCACAAGGAAGUGUUUGGAAAUGAGCAAGUGAAAUGAUUCAAGGCUUAAGAGAGUUAUUUUUUAUCCAAGGCUAAGAAAAUUGCUUAAAGUCUACCUUGAGAUUGGAAUACUGGUUAAAACACCUGAUAAGACACUGAUCACAAUUUAAAAUGGAAAGACUGAAAUGAGCUCUGGGACAUAGAUCAAGAAGGUUCUAUUGGAAGUAGGCAACAAAUUUAUAGUGGAAUGGUGAAGUCGGUGCAGCAGAAUAUAGUGCUGGUUCUACUUUUUCCUAAGAGAAGAAAAGGAGAUUAUUAGUAAGUCUGAAGUAAGGAAGAAAUUAGAAGUGUUCACCCAUUAAUUUGAUUCUCUAAGUUGACAUCAAGGUUGCACAUUGUUAGAAACUAGUAAAGUCAUUUCCUGUUAAAAAAACACAAAGACCAUGCAAAUAGACAUGAUUAAAUAUUUUAUUCAUAUCCUUAAUGAGAUUGUGUUAGUUGAUUGCAUGCU